ACAGGAAUUGAGGUGUGGCCUCAGCAGUGCCCAAUACAAGGGUUUUGUUCUGUGGAGGAUUGUCCUGCUCAGUCACUGUCACGCUGAGCUCGUUCCACCGUGUGACUUUGCCAGCGAUCCCUUGGUGGUCACUCCAUGGAAAUGUUCAGCAUGGAAGGGCUGCGAUGGUUCCUCGGUUCCUCCUUAGCAGCACUGAACGUUGCAGCAACGUCUGCAAGGUCUCACAGCAUGGAAACGGCUCUUUCCUGUGGGAUGGAACACGGAGCCUUCUGCUGGAAAUGGGAUUCUGCUCUGCCCCCGUGGAGUUUUUCAUCAGAGAACGUGGCUGGGCUGGAGCAUCGUCCAGGACACAUCCGAGAGCUUCCUGCAGGGAGCAUCAAGGGCUCGGGACUUACAUUGAGAGUUGCUGGCCUCGCUCCUGGUGUUGAGUCAUGAGGCUUGGGAGCUGCGCUUUCACCAUCAGGCUUUUGAUCAUUAUCUGUCCUUUCUGCUGUGUCUGAACAGAGAGAGAGAGAUUUGAAGUUAUCUCAGUUAAUAUUCACUUUUUCACUGCAUCAUUAAACGCCUCCCUCCUGCC